rnacentral:lncRNA from 1 species
UGCCACAUAAAAUAUACGUACAUGAGAGAGAAUGUGGCAUCAAUUUGGAUCCAUGUUUUAUGAUGUACAUGGCUUUUCACUUACCAUUCACUACCUUGUCGUUACCUUUGCUGUCAGAGCACGGGGUUGCAGAAUUAAGACUGGAUUCUAAAGACCAUAAGUACGUCCCAAGUUUGGGGACUGUAGAACUGUAGUUUUCAGGGACCCAGUGAACCAAGGAGACCUGGUUCUGGAGGAGGAAAGAAAUAAAGAGCUAUUUCACCAUCUGUCUUCAAGAAGACACAGUGUACAAGCCCUUUCUAGGGGAAAACAUUGUUUUAGCAGAUUAGAGCUGAGAAAGGUGUUUGAAGUAAUUAGGCCUCGGAGGCCGUUAACCCAGUGUGCUCGAAUCCCUUGGGGACAGGUACGUUUUGGACGAUGAAUAUAUCAGUUCUUCUGGAGCUAAGUUCCCAGUCAAGUGGUCCCCACCUGAAGUUUUUCAUUUCAACAAGUACAGUAGCAAGUCUGACGUCUGGUCAUUCGGAGUUUUAAUGUGGGAAGUUUUUACAGAAGGAAAAAUGCCCUUUGAGAAUAAGUCCAAUUUGCAAGUGGUGGAAGCCAUUUCUAAAGGUUUCCGGCUCUAUCGUCCUCACCUGGCCCCCAUGUCCAUAUACGGAGUUAUGUACAGUUGCUGGCAUGAGAGCCCUAAAGGCCGUCCGACAUUUGCUGAGUUGCUUCAGGUUCUCGCAGAGAUCGCGGAAAC